ensembl:lncRNA
CCAACAUAUUGUGCCUCCUUAUGUCUCGCUUUCAUUUGGCACUCAGAGGUGAGUCAGAAAGUCAUGUCAGAAAGUUCCCCCUUCAUAAUUUAUUUAUAUUUUUGUUUUUAUGCAUUGGCCCAUCCUCCUUAAUUUUCUAAAUGUCUUGGUCUACUUGUGCUCAGAUGUGAACACAGAAGGAAAAAAAAAUAUCAAAGAACUUGGUUCAAUUUUACACCAAAGUGCAAUUUGUUGAAGGGACUUUUACUAAAGGUAAAAAUUAGAAAAUUGUUAGAAAUUCUUUUAUUUUUCAUGUUGAUCUAAGUGUCAACUGUUAUUGAUGCACAUCUCCCCGUCUGAAUGUGCCUCGAUGCCUUCAGAAUUGUUGUGAUUUUACUGGAACCUUCCCCUAAUCUGACUUUUUGUUUUCCCAAAGAAGAAGAAGGAAAAAAAAGUGUGUAGGUGUGUACAUUUAACACUGUAAAUAGGAGCUGCUCGUGUAUGGCAGCCUGAUCAGAGCCGUACAGGUUGAAACACUAGGGGGAGCAGUCGCCACAGGAAGGAAGAGUGGAAAUAACAAAGAAGGGAGAAAAAGAUUUGUUUUUGUCAGUUUGUGUAAAGGAUGAUAUCUGAGGUUGAUACCAUCUUAAAAUUGACUUUCAGUCUGACAGCUUGGUAGCUACAUGAAAGUGAGAUGAAGCCUCUGGCCUGAGAGAGCGAGGCAGCUAGAGAUUCUGGUGGACUGACAGCCGAGGGACCAGAGAAACCUACUGAUGUGCUUGAGUAGACGUAUUUAUAAUUGAUUUUUCUUUAUUUUUGUGGGAUUGGGGCCUGUUUUCCAGACGCAGAGACGUCUGCAAGUUUGUGCAUGCUGUUGUUGUUAUCAAACUCGUUCGGGUAAUCGUAUAAGCUUGGACUUUUGAGUCACUUUCCAAAUUACAGCAGCAAAGAGAACCAAACUUUUGCGCCCUUGAAUUGAAUUUUUCACUCGGCUUGUUUUCUUCUUGGCCUGUUGUGAUAAACAUACUGAUAGAAAAGAGGAAAAAAAUUAUUUCUUUUUUAUUUGUAUUAAGUCUUCUAAAGUCUUGUCUCUUUGUCUUUUUAUUAUGGACAGGGAAAUAUCAUGCUUGCUUUUAAAAAAAAAAAAUGUAAAUAAUGUAUAUUUUUCUACAAAAAAAACCUUAAAAGCACUCACUAGUGAAUAGCACUUAAUGAUGGUAUUUAUAUUUUUAAAAAAUUGUAUUUAUUUUAUUGCCAUUUUUGUAGAAAAUAGGGGUUUACAAACACUAAUACUUGGUCUCUAUGUUUUGUAUCCCGCUGCCUUCCAGAGUUUUUUUUUUUUUUUUUUAAUAAUUGUUUUUGUUUUCUUUUUAAAAUUCGUACCCUGAAUGUUUUCUUUGAUUCCAAAGACUGAUGCUGGUCUAUCUAUGGCUUGGUCCCCAUUUAAGUUCAGUCCACCAGUAGCUCUUUUAUCUAUCCUGGGCCGUUUGGUCAGAGCUGACAUUUUUUUAUUAUUUUGUUGUUGUUGUUGUUGUUGUUGUUGUUGUUAUUAUUAUUAUUAUUAUUAUUAUUAUUAUUAUUAUUAUUAUUAUUAUUAUUUUAAUUGUUCCAGUCCUAGCUGACAGUAUGGCAGUCAUGUGAACUACUAUUAUGCACUUGAGAGAGAGAGUUUAGAUUGUUGAUCCAUAGCCGACUUCUCCUCUCUCCAGCCUUAUUGUCUCCACACCACAUCAAACCGAGGAUAGAGCCCUUAUGGAGGCGAUUCUAUCAAAGUGGUUCGGUCACUAAUGAGCCAAGGGUCGAUAGGCUUGCAGCCGAUUGGCAAUAUAUGAAAUAUUUACAUGUAAAAACCCCACAAAGAUUCCCGUCAGUUUAAGGCGUUAUGUCCUUGCAAAGACUUUGGCUAUAAUGAAGAGGUGCCUUUAUUUUAAUGCUACUUAUAGCACUCGUCAUAUCCGACUAGAGCCAUUGUAUACAUUAAAAGAAGCAUGGUGUUGUGGUGACUGCUCUUCAAUGCUCACCAGCAGUCUGAGAUCGUUCUUAUACCUUCAUCCAGUCUCCUCGUGGUUCACCUCAGUUCGUAAAUGCCUCUUCUCUCUUAAAAGCCUUCACGUCCUAAACAGAGUAUUUAAACAGAGAGUGACUGGUUCCACUGAGCAACUGAAGCCGAUUGCUCCGUUUGUCCCUUUUAAGGAAUUCGUCAUCGUGACUUCAUUGCCGCCUUUUAAGGUUGUUAGCGGCUCGCCCCUCAACCACCCUCUCAUUUGGUUUUGUAAAAGUGAAGCUAAAAUGGGUUGCACUUUAGCUGUGACACAGGCACUGAACAGGCGUAGGAAAAGCUCCCAAUACUGAAACCAGAAGCACAGACCGUCUCUGAGUUUGUGCAACAGGCCCUGAUAUUUCAAAUUUAUGGAUUGGUGUUGAUGACUCCGACAGUGGUGUUUGAGGCUCUAGCAAAGUGCACUUGACUCUGUUUUUAUUUACAUUUUUUAUUGUUUUACUUCAACAAAGUGAAGGCAGGGACCACACCAGCAGCCCUCUCCUUCCUGACGGUGUGGCGUGUACAAACCUCGGCUGCGCCUUUCCCACCGAGAGCCCUGACGCCUCCGCCGGCGGGCCAGCCGGGCGUACACAGUCCUACACUGACAACCGGGCUUGCUGGGUUCUGCUGCUAAAGGUCAACGAUGAAUGUAUAUUCUUCCUCCACAUCACCCAACUACCAGUUUUGCUGUGCCUGUGAGCGCUCCUCCUCCUCCGCAGCAGCAGGGAGCGUUGCAGUUCUUUUUGUUUUAUUUCUGGAAAGGAACUUUUUUGGGGGAAGGGGGGGGGGGGGGGGGUAGUUUCUUGUUUGUUUGUUUGUUUGUUUUUUGUUGUUUUUUUUUUUAAUGUGAUGAGAAAUGUAACUGUAUUAAUGUGGUUGUGAACUUCUUGAGGUCAUCCAUUUUUUCUGGUUGUUGUAGUGAAUGUUUUUUCUUUUUUAAUUUUCUUUUAUUAUUUUUUUAAUUUAGUUUUUUUAAUGUUUUAACAGGGACUUUUUAGACUGCUUACUUGAUGCGGUAAAAAUUAGGAGAUGGGUUUGUGGAGGCUUACCAGGAUUUUAAAGAUACCACCAAAAUGGCGUUUUUCUUUUAAUUUAAUUUUUUUUUUUUUUUUUUUUUUUUUUUGGUUUUUUUUGAUCAGGUUUUUUUUUCACGUUGGAAACCUCUCUCGUCUCCCUGACCACCUCUUUAUCUCUCUCUCCUAUGAAGCUUUUGGUUGUACUUAUCAUGUACUGUUUUUUGUAGAAAGUCAUAAUGCUGAUGUUGAAAACAUUUAAUUUAUUUAUUUCGUGCAACAUCCACCCUGAAUUGUUCUUUUACAAAUCAAGGUUUUGGAGAGGUCAGACAAGUACUUAAACCUGUAUUUGUAAUUUUUCUGAUUGUUUCACAUGUAUAGACGUUAUCAGCCUAGGGUGGGUUGCGGUGUCGCAGUAGGACGUGGAAAAGAGGGAUCACGAACGGGCUAGUUUGUUUCGCCUUGAUUAUCUGCCGUUGUCUUAUCAUUUUCUUCCCGCUCUCUGUAAUAACGGUAUUCACAGCAGUCAUAUUUUCUCCCAUAAAACAGGCGAUCUUUCUUUGUACACAUCAACGAAAUGAAGGAAAACCACCACCGUGAAAAUAAACCACAAACUACUUGGUUGAAUGUAUAAUUUGGAAACAAAGUUGUACAUAAGUGUAAAAAGAAAAGUUUCUAAUCAUGUUUAUUUUCUAUGCACUUUUUUAUUUAAGUGAUAGUUUAAAUAAUAAACAUGUCUCCUUUACUCCUCUGUCUCUCGCCUCAUUUACUCAAAUGUGAUUUGUAAAGGAUUGCACACUCUGGCUUUUAUAUACACUUUUCA